UAAAAUCUUAACCGGCUAUAUCACAAAAAAUCAAGUAAAAUCUUAACCGGUUAAUUAUAACAAUGUCGAGAUAAUUAAUAUAUUACCGGCUAACUAUUACAAAAAAGUCAAAUAAAGUAUUAGCCGACUACUUCACAAAUUAUAUUAUUAAAUAAAAGUGAAAGACAUGAGUGCUUUUCCUCUUUCUUUUCUUCCUUUCUAGGGCUGCAACAUCGGCCUCCUCUCUCAUCCGCUCUACAUCGGCCUUUGUAGCUCUUCCUAUGAACAUUUUCUUUGUAAAUGGGUAUCGGUCUCUGAUAAGGCUGACCAUUUUAUCUACAUUCAUCUUCCUCAUCAGAAAGACAUCUCUUCUUCCUCAAGCUCAAAGUCUGUGUCCGAGUGAAUAAUCAAAGUCAGACGUAUCUAUAAAAUAAUUCAUCAAAAUUUGGUUUAGACAGCUAUUUUUUAAUAUUUAUGUCCAUUUCCGGAGUAUACGGUCUCUGGAAAUAAGAAAUGCUAAUACACUACACACUUUUGGUGGACGGCCAUUUAAUGGAUUGUAUGUACAAUGUCAUUGUUAUCCUAUUACACACAGCAAAAAGACAAAGAAACGAAACAUCUUCCAUGCUAUUCUCGUAAGGAUGGAGAUAGAGAAUUUACUUAUCAGACAGAACAAAUCAUAAACUGACCAAAACAAAAGAUGAAGCAAUUAUUCAUAAUAAACUAUUUGACUCCUUAGACUGAUUCUAUCAGUUGAUAAGUUUAACCAACUCAGAGACAAAAUGACCACAGUCGGACAAGAUCCAUCAUUACAACUUUAUGUAAAAAAAAAGACAAAUAUAAUUAGGGCGUAAAGAGGUAGAAGAGAACCAGAUUGAUGAGAGCAGCAACUUUCUGAGAGGUGGUACCAUGUGUGAUAGCUUCUGAUCUACGAACGAUCCGAUCCGUGCCACCACCACCACGACUCUCGAAUCUGGUGAGACUGAUACAGACAGUCCGGUGCGAUUUCGUUUAUAUAGGGAGAAGGGUUCCGUCGGAGAAACCAAAGAGAUCAUUGAGUGAGAUGGAAGAUUCUUUGUGAACAAUGGUUUUGACGGAGAAAUCAAAGAGAUUAUGAGAGAAGGAGGGUCGUAAUUACGGAGAAACCAAAGAGAUUGUGAGAGAAAGAAGAUCGUAAACCAAAAAGAUUGGGAGAGAUAAAAUAGAUAUUUUCGUAAGAAAAGUAUAUCGAUUGUAGUGAUGAGUGUAGUUUCUCUCUUCAUGCGUAAUAAUGAGAUAUAGAGUUCGAAAACAUAUUAGAUAUUAGAAUGAAGUAUUAUAUGAUAGGGGUGCUAUGGACAUUAAAAAAAACACGUCAUUAAAAAAGGUUGACUUCCAUCCCGACAAAUAUACAAGUUAUCUUUGUAUAGGAGUCCUAAUUUCUCUUAAUACAAUGUAUUUUCUGAAAUGUAAGAUGUUUAUAAUCAUUUUUAUGUUGUUCUCAUCUUUUUUGAUAACUUUUAGUUUAUCAAAAACUGUGUAACUAAUCAAAUUUAAUAGUUCUAUUUUAUAAUUGGUUAUAUAGUUUUUAGUUUAUAAUUUAAAUGAUACUUUUUAGGUAAAAGAUAAUUUUUUUAAUAAGUGUGUAUUACCUAAAACAUUUUAUAUUCCAUAGAGAAUAAUAAAGUUUAGGACAAAUCUCAUAAACCCCCUAAAACUAUUUAUGACCAAACAGUCCAUAGAAAAAAAAAUACAUUUCAGAUUAAGUGUAAAAAGACUAAAUAUUUUUAAUGAAAAAAUACAUUUACUAUAAAUAUAUAUUCUAAAAUAUUUUAAAUUUUUUACCUUCAAUCUUAAAUUUAAAAUCUUAAACUCUAUUCUCCAAACUCUAAAUUUCACCCCGAAAAAACUAAUAUUUGGUUAUAAACCAAGUAAUUAUAUGAAUUUAUAUAUAUGUUUUUAAACCAUUUAGUGAAUACUAUUUUGUUUAAGUGGAAAAAAUAGUACUACAUUUUAUUUGAGAGAAUGAUAUUACAAACUUAUUUUAAUGUAAAUUUUUUAUUUACAUAACAAUUUGUAAGGUUUUAACAAACUUUAAUAAAUGCAUAAACAAAUAAUAUCAAAUAAAUGAUGGUAUCAGAAAUUAAAAAAAAAAUUGAGAAAUAAGUAUAUUAAAAUGAAAAAAAUAAAAAGUCAAAAAAAAUUUUUUUAAUAUAUAUUCCAUUAACUCCCUAAAAACAUCAUCAAAUUCAUACAAGGAUUCAAGCAAAAUCGGUACAACCACAAGAUUUGAUAAAAUAGACAUAUCGGACACACAACCAAAUUUCGGAUCCUUCCAUCGUCACUACCUCAUCCGGGUUACUCUGGGGGAGUUUGUCGCUCCCACUCUCCUCCUUGUACAAGUUGUUGCAGUGUCUGAAGCAUACCGAGGAUAGAGGGUCCAGAAAGACAAAACUUUAACUCAAUUUUAUUUUAAAGGAGAAAAAUGAACAAAAUCAUUAGAGGUCUAAUUGUAUCAACUUAUGUUUUCAUAUAAUCAACACCUUUUUUCAUGCUUUGGUUCUUAACUUAUAAAAAAAAUCUUGGUCCCGUCGCACUCACUUUUUAAUGCGAGGGUACAGAAA
rnacentral:lncRNA from 1 species